UUAAGCGACUAAGCGUACACGGUGGAUGCCCUGGCAGUCAGAGGCGAUGAAGGACGUGCUAAUCUGCGAUAAGCGUCGGUAAGGUGAUAUGAACCGUUAUAACCGGCGAUUUCCGAAUGGGGAAACCCAGUGUGAUUCGUCACACUAUCAUUAACUGAAUCCAUAGGUUAAUGAGGCGAACCGGGGGAACUGAAACAUCUAAGUACCCCGAGGAAAAGAAAUCAACCGAGAUUCCCCCAGUAGCGGCGAGCGAACGGGGAGCAGCCCAGAGCCUGAAUCAGUGUGUGUGUUAGUGGAAGCGUCUGGAAAGGCGCGCGAUACAGGGUGACAGCCCCGUACACAAAAAUGCACAUGCUGUGAGCUCGAUGAGUAGGGCGGGACACGUGGUAUCCUGUCUGAAUAUGGGGGGACCAUCCUCCAAGGCUAAAUACUCCUGACUGACCGAUAGUGAACCAGUACCGUGAGGGAAAGGCGAAAAGAACCCCGGCGAGGGGAGUGAAAAAGAACCUGAAACCGUGUACGUACAAGCAGUGGGAGCCUCUUUAUGGGGUGACUGCGUACCUUUUGUAUAAUGGGUCAGCGACUUAUAUUCUGUAGCAAGGUUAACCGAAUAGGGGAGCCGAAGGGAAACCGAGUCUUAACUGGGCGUUAAGUUGCAGGGUAUAGACCCGAAACCCGGUGAUCUAGCCAUGGGCAGGUUGAAGGUUGGGUAACACUAACUGGAGGACCGAACCGACUAAUGUUGAAAAAUUAGCGGAUGACUUGUGGCUGGGGGUGAAAGGCCAAUCAAACCGGGAGAUAGCUGGUUCUCCCCGAAAGCUAUUUAGGUAGCGCCUCGUGAAUUCAUCUCCGGGGGUAGAGCACUGUUUCGGCAAGGGGGUCAUCCCGACUUACCAACCCGAUGCAAACUGCGAAUACCGGAGAAUGUUAUCACGGGAGACACACGGCGGGUGCUAACGUCCGUCGUGAAGAGGGAAACAACCCAGACCGCCAGCUAAGGUCCCAAAGUCAUGGUUAAGUGGGAAACGAUGUGGGAAGGCCCAGACAGCCAGGAUGUUGGCUUAGAAGCAGCCAUCAUUUAAAGAAAGCGUAAUAGCUCACUGGUCGAGUCGGCCUGCGCGGAAGAUGUAACGGGGCUAAACCAUGCACCGAAGCUGCGGCAGCGACGCUUAUGCGUUGUUGGGUAGGGGAGCGUUCUGUAAGCCUGCGAAGGUGUACUGUGAGGUAUGCUGGAGGUAUCAGAAGUGCGAAUGCUGACAUAAGUAACGAUAAAGCGGGUGAAAAGCCCGCUCGCCGGAAGACCAAGGGUUCCUGUCCAACGUUAAUCGGGGCAGGGUGAGUCGACCCCUAAGGCGAGGCCGAAAGGCGUAGUCGAUGGGAAACAGGUUAAUAUUCCUGUACUUGGUGUUACUGCGAAGGGGGGACGGAGAAGGCUAUGUUGGCCGGGCGACGGUUGUCCCGGUUUAAGCGUGUAGGCUGGUUUUCCAGGCAAAUCCGGAAAAUCAAGGCUGAGGCGUGAUGACGAGGCACUACGGUGCUGAAGCAACAAAUGCCCUGCUUCCAGGAAAAGCCUCUAAGCAUCAGGUAACAUCAAAUCGUACCCCAAACCGACACAGGUGGUCAGGUAGAGAAUACCAAGGCGCUUGAGAGAACUCGGGUGAAGGAACUAGGCAAAAUGGUGCCGUAACUUCGGGAGAAGGCACGCUGAUAUGUAGGUGAAGUCCCUUGCGGAUGGAGCUGAAAUCAGUCGAAGAUACCAGCUGGCUGCAACUGUUUAUUAAAAACACAGCACUGUGCAAACACGAAAGUGGACGUAUACGGUGUGACGCCUGCCCGGUGCCGGAAGGUUAAUUGAUGGGGUUAGCGGUAACGCGAAGCUCUUGAUCGAAGCCCCGGUAAACGGCGGCCGUAACUAUAACGGUCCUAAGGUAGCGAAAUUCCUUGUCGGGUAAGUUCCGACCUGCACGAAUGGCGUAAUGAUGGCCAGGCUGUCUCCACCCGAGACUCAGUGAAAUUGAACUCGCUGUGAAGAUGCAGUGUACCCGCGGCAAGACGGAAAGACCCCGUGAACCUUUACUAUAGCUUGACACUGAACAUUGAGCCUUGAUGUGUAGGAUAGGUGGGAGGCUUUGAAGUGUGGACGCCAGUCUGCAUGGAGCCGACCUUGAAAUACCACCCUUUAAUGUUUGAUGUUCUAACGUUGGCCCCUAAUCGGGGUUGCGGACAGUGUCUGGUGGGUAGUUUGACUGGGGCGGUCUCCUCCUAAAGAGUAACGGAGGAGCACGAAGGUUGGCUAAUCCUGGUCGGACAUCAGGAGGUUAGUGCAAUGGCAUAAGCCAGCUUGACUGCGAGCGUGACGGCGCGAGCAGGUGCGAAAGCAGGUCAUAGUGAUCCGGUGGUUCUGAAUGGAAGGGCCAUCGCUCAACGGAUAAAAGGUACUCCGGGGA
rnacentral:rRNA from 1 species